GUCCAGACUCCUACGGGAGGCAGCAGUGGGGAAUAUUGGGCAAUGGGCGCAAGCCUGACCCAGCAAUGCCGCGUGAAGGAAGAAGGCCUUCGGGUUGUAAACUUCUUUUAUCAGGGACGAAGGAUGUGACGGUACCUGAUGAAUAAGCUCCGGCUAACUACGUGCCAGCAGCCGCGGUAAUACGUAGGGAGCAAGCGUUAUCCGGAUUUACUGGGUGUAAAGGGCGCGUAGGCGGGAUGGCAAGUCAGAUGUGAAAUCCGAGGGCUCAACCCUUGAACUGCAUUUGAAACUGUCGUUCUUGAGUACUGGAGAGGUUGACGGAAUUCCUAGUGUAGCAGUGAAAUGCGUAGAUAUUAGGAGGAACACCGGUGGCGAAGGCGGCCUGCUGGACGACGACUGACGCUGAGGCUCGAAAGCGUGGGGAGCAAACAGGAUUAGAUACCCUUGUA
rnacentral:rRNA from 1 species